rnacentral:piRNA from 1 species
UACAACUAAUUCCUGAAGUCCAUAGUGCUU